GGGGAAUUUUGGACAAUGGGCGAAAGCCUGAUCCAGCAAUGCCGCGUGUGUGAAGAAGGCCUUCGGGUUGUAAAGCACUUUUGUCCGGCAAGAAAUGGCUCUGGUUGAUACCUGGGGUCGAUGACGGUACCGGAAGAAUAAGGACCGGCUCACUACGUGCCAGCAGCCGCGGUAAUACGUAGGGUCCAAGCGUUAAUCGGAAUUACUGGGCGUAAAGCGUGCGCAGGCGGUUGUGCUAGACCGAUGUGAAAUCCCCGAGCUUAACUUGGGAAUUGCAUUGGUGACUGCACGGCUAGAGUGUGUCAGACGGGGGUAGAAUUCCACGUGUAGCAGUGAGAUGCGUAGUGAUGUGGAGGAAUACCGAUGGCGAAGGCAGCCCCCUGGGAUAACACUGACGCUCAUGCACGAAAGCGUGGGGAGCAAAC
rnacentral:rRNA from 1 species